ensembl:lncRNA
AAAGAUUCCUCUAGUUCAGAAGGAAACUUCUGUAGAGAAGAUCCAAAGCUUUCUAUGUGUGGCUUUCUUUCAAAACUAGACUAUUGCAAAAAGGAAACCAUUGUUGUUUAAUCUAGUGUUCAGUAGGGUUCCUCUACAGAGUUGAUUUUUUUUAAGCUAAUCUAGAGUUCAUUGAUUCAAGAAUGAUCUAGAUCUCCGUAGAAGAAUGGCGAUGAUUCCCUGAUGAGCAUAAAAAUGCCAACUUCAGCCAAUACCUGCUGUUAUACCUUUCUUCAUACCUUCUUAUUCUUCUUGUGCAUGGAUUGUUUGUUAUUGUUAGUGAGUAGCUAAAAAAUAUAAAGUUUAUCCACUUAGCGAUGUAGUUUAAAACGAGAAUUACCUCAAAUAGCUAGUAAUCCUCUCAGAACUGAAAGAGCCGAAUGUUCCUGGUGAUGCCAGUUAUUUUACAGCAGUGACUAGCGAUACCUCUCGAAUGUAAUUUAGGAGUCAUGAUAGAGUUUAUGCUUCAGAAACAGACCGCUGUAAUAAAGCUAUCUGGGUUGUUUACUUGAAUACACAAACUUGCUACCUCAGAUUAAACCAAACCCCUCUGAUUAGCCUGUAUGAGAUUAAGAUUAUUACAUAUUAGUUAUGAGAAAAUUACACGUCGUCUUCCAUAUUACAGUCACUCUGUCUAGUUUAGUUAAUGAGCUUAAACUGACAUCUGAUUCAGAACAGAGGAAAACGCACUGCCUGUGUCAGUAUACACUUUUCAGGGGGUCGGGUAAUACUUCACUAGGGUUGCGAUCUGAGCUAGUGAAGUUGUAUUGCUUGGGCAAUUAGGGUGUUUUGAUGUACAGUUCCAAAGAAAUAUUGAAUGUUGAAAUGCUUAAGAAAUACUGUAAAACUAUAACCAAAUCUAUAUUCUUGCUAAAUAUUUAAGUCUAAUUUAUGCUUCUUUCAAUUCAGGUUUAUUUUAAGUCGUCUUUUUUUUUUCGGGGUUUUUCUUUUGGGUUUUUUUUUUUUCUUUCUUUUUUUAUUUCAAUGCUUCAACCAAUGGCUUAAUUUAUACAGCAUGUUGUCCAUAUUUUCUUGUGGCAUGUGCAUUAUUCUAAAAAAGUUAGGUUUAGCAGAUUGCAUUCAUGCAUUUAGUGUUGAAACGAGACCAAAAGCGUAAAAUCAAAACCUACUGUAAAUAUCUUUGGGUAUCUUAAUGUAACUGACGUGAUUUUUAUCAAUUGAUAUAUUACUGAAACUUACUUGUUCAGAGAUGAAAUCGUUUUCUUAUUGUGUUUUAAUUUCUCUACACCGUGUUUGUUUUAAACUACCUCUGGUGGGGUAUUUUGUACGGUUUCCAUGGGUUUUCAUCAUGCUGGAGGGCUUUUUUAAACAAUACCUAAUUUUGAGGUUGUAUUCAUUUGUUUAGUAGCUGCUUGCCUGAUCUAGUAAUAUCAAAAGAGGUACUUUAAAUAAUAGAUCAACUAGCCUAAGAUUUGAUUCGCUGAAUUGACUUUUCUGGCACUCUUUGGUCAUGUAGUGCUUGCUUUUUUUUUCUCUUUUUGCUUUGUUUGAAGAUGAUUAUUUGACACUGUCUGUAAAUCAAUGGGAUUCUAGAAUAUUCAGGAACUUUUUAAUACAUAAUGGGACUUGAAACUGAACUUCAAAACUGUGACAACACUUUCAUUUGCAUUCUCUGCAAACCUCAGGGAACAUUUUAGGGACACGUCCCAGUUAACUAUUUGAACCAUAAAGCGCCAUUAACAGAUGUUUUUGCAGCAAUUUUCCUGUGUUUUUUUUAUUUAGAUAGUUUCAAUAUUCUCCACAACUGACACAAUGCGCCUUCAGGAGGUUCGGCAGCUCUUUGCAUUUGCAGUACAGGUUUGUGUGUGUGUGCGUGGAUGGUUUUGAUGUGGUUUUCAAAUGCUUUUGAAAUGUCGAGUACUUUGUUCAGAAAUGAUGAUACUAAAGUAUUUGCGACCUGUUUAUGAAAACCAAAGCACAUUUUCACUCUUUGAAGAAUUUAAGGUCCUAUUGUAUAUAACAUUGUUCUCAGUUAUGACAUGAAAUAAAAUUAAAUCAAAA